UUUAAUCAACGAUAAAAAAAAUGAAAUAUGAAAAUAAGUAUAAGUAGAAUAAAAAAUACAAAUUAAAUUAACCGUAUAACAUAAUUAUUGUUGACACUAUGGAGAUGAGAGAAUUUUGCAAUAUGCACUGAAUUUUCGUUUUUUGACAGCAAAAUGUAAGAAUAUAUUUUUUAUCUAAGAUAUCAGAAAGUUAGCUUGAGAAAAUUGUUAUCAAAAUUUAGAUAUAGAGGAAUGGAUUAAAAAUUUUAUUGAAUGAGCUGUAAAUGGAGGAUGAGAACUCUCUCUGUUCCAGUCGACUACUCCAUGUUUUUAUGGAAAUCCUUAUUUGUAAUUUAAAAAGAAUAGGAAUAUUCCGGAGAAGAUUUGAAGGAAUGUAUAUAUUCUUUAACAUAGAUACAAUGAUUGAAAUGGUGUCAGACCUUAAUGCGAAGGUAGAUUUGCACAAUGAAGGAUUCUUUCAUUAAAGGGUAUUAAAUCCAAGGAGUGAGGCACUAAGAGGCGAUAUCCCUUUAACAUGAAGUCAAAGAGAGGAUCAUAAGUUGUGUAGAUUGGAUAUCCUUCAAAUAAAAAUAAUAUUAACUCAUAAGGGGGCAAGGAUGGGUGAAUACGGAUCCAUGAAUCAGAAUGCUUUGUGGCUAAGAUUUAAAUUUUCCAUACCGGCUGUGACAUAAAAAAAAACCUUCGAUUUUGCUUUACCAGCAGUCGGUACGGUACAACAAUUUGAGAAGGAAUGCUGGCCGGUGUAUGUUAUUCUCAUAUCUAUUAUUUUAAGUUACCUUGGGCAAAUCUAAUUUUCUAAAGCAUCCCUACUUUCAUAUUGAUUGAACAGUUUCUAAUAGAAACCAAUAAUAGUUCUACAACUAAUAAUAGGAAUUAUUUUGAAACCUCUACUCACAUAACAACAAUCACAAUAAUUAAAUAAUUAAAUUUUAGUUGGCAAUCUGUAUCACUCAUCUCCUCAGGAUGUUAAAAUUACUAGCGCUUCUUGUAGUUAUAAAAAAAUGCUUUGUGAUUGUGAUAAUAAAAAAUCACAAUCACAUUAAAAAUUCAGCACUUCAGCAUCGAAACCACAGGGAUAUAUUUGCUCCUAGAAUAUGAAAGUCUAGGCAUGAUUGUUAGAAUGAAGUCAAAAUUUUGAAAGAAAUAUAAGGUCCUAUAAAUGUUCAAAACAUUAUUAAUGUAGUAAAUUAUGCUACGUUAAAAAGUUAUUUGAUAGUGAAUCACAUGAAUUCCUUCUUGUGCAACCAAGGAAAUACAUAUAUUUUCAAUUCAAUUGAAAUUAUACCUUGUACGUUAAUGAAGAUACUUCAAGUUCUAUUGACAUACUAGGAUGCAAAGUUUAUCACAUGAAAAUUUAGACAGAGUUAUAUUGUAGCUUUGACUAUCUACAUCCUUGCAAUAAAUUGUUUCAAAAAAUUGAUACCAAUAACUCAACAAAGGGAUACAUGGAUCCCCAAUUGGCCAUUAAAUGUCUAUGCUGACAACAUAAUAGUACCCUUAUCAGGUUGCCUAUUUGUUAACCAGGAACUAAGCCUUAGUAACAAACGAGCCUUUAUACUCAUGUUGAAAAAUUUAAAGGGGAGUUUGUAUAUGAGAAAAAGUAAUGAGGCCAAGUCUUUUUAUUUUGCAUUCAUAAUUCUCGUUAUUUCCCAAUGAUGGAAUAAAUGACACAAACCUGGCUGGCACCUUUUCUAAGGACUUAAUCAAGUAGUUUUUUGAAGGAUUCCAGAUCCGUACAUUAAAAUCGGCUGGACAUAAAGCUUAUAAAGUUUUAGCAUAAACGAUGGGUCACGAGUAUAUUGAUUUCAAACUUUUUUUUUACGAAUUAAUCCAAUUAAGUCAUUUAAAAAAUAAAAUAAAAAUAGUGAGACCUAAAUAUACAACCAUAAGCUAUAAGGUUGUUUUCUUCUUCAGUUAUGUAAAAUAUUUGUCUUAAAAUGUCUUAUUAAAUUUGAACAACAGUAAUUUUAAUACGAAUAAUUAAUCUACAAGUAAAUUGAUGCAGUAAAUACUAAUAUCUACAUUAUUUUCAUUUUUGUGAAUUGUUAAUAUUAUAACCUUCCAAUAAAUAAUAAGUGUUAUUUAUGUUUAUUAAUUUGUAUAAAAUAUAUUAAGAUUAACGUUAUCGAAUAUAUAUUUCCAGCUGCUAGAUAAUUUAUGACAAACGAAAUAUAUAAAUAAAUGUUUUUGUAUUAGGAAUAAGCGGGUAUUAUUGUAAUGGAAGUAAAUUAAUAGUUUAUAUUUAUAUUUUUGAUCCACAUUUAAUUAAUAAUUAGCGUUGUUGUCGAUAAGUAAUUGAAAAUUAUUCAAAGUAAUGGAAAAAAAUGGAGUGCUAUUUCGAUACCUAAUACUAAUAAUUAUUUGCAUGACAUGCAAAGCAAGAUAUAAAGUUUGUUGUAUGGAAGGUAUCAAAAUUAUAAAUGGUAUGACAAUAUGUAAUAGUCCGUGUUGUGAAGGUUAUGAAGAAAUUGCCACAAUUCUACCAAGAAUUAAACCUAUAAUUUAUUGCAGGAAGGUUCAAGAUGAAACAGGAAUGGUUAAUCAUCACUUACUAAAAGAACAUUCUGCUUUUAUUUGGAAAUAUUGAAUGUGGCAUUUUCAAUUAUCAAUUAUUUUGAAUUAAUGCAAUUGUUAAUUGUAAGGUAUAAUUUAUGUUUUCUCAUUAUUAGAUCAAAAAUAUUAUAUGUUAAAUAACUAUUAAUGUAAAUUAAAGAUUAAGUAUACACAUAAUAAAAAUUAAAACGAA
rnacentral:lncRNA from 1 species